GACGUAGGGGGCAAGCGUUGUCCGGAAUCAUUGGGCGUAAAGCGCUCGUAGGUGGAUCGGUAAGUCUGCAAAGAAAGACCCGGGCUCAACUCGGGGAACGGUGUGGAUACUACCGAUCUUGAGGCAAUCAGAGGAUGAUGGAAUUCCCGGUGUAGCGGUGAAAUGCGUAGACAUCGGGAGGAACACCAGUGGCGAAGGCGAUCAUCUGGGGGUGUUCUGACACUGAGGAGCGAAAGCUAGGGGAGCAAACGGG
rnacentral:rRNA from 1 species